UGGGGGAUAUUGCACAAUGGGCGAAAGCCUGAUGCAGCGACGCCGCGUGGGGGAUGAAGGCCUUCGGGUUGUAAACUUCUUUUGCUCUGAACAAGGCAUGCUAAUGGGUGUGUUGAGUGUAGGGGUUGAUUAGCGCCGGCUAACUACGUGCCAGCAGCCGCGGUAAUACGUAGGGCGCUAGCGUUGUCCGGAAUUAUUGGGCGUAAAGGGCUUGUAGGUGGCUGGUUGCGUCUGUCGUGAAAGCUCAUGGCUUAACUGUGGGUUUGCGGUGGGUACGGGCUGGCUUGAGUGCAGUAGGGGAGGCUGGAAUUCCUGGUGUAGCGGUGGAAUGCGCAGAUAUCAGGAGGAAUACCGGUGGCGAAGGCGGGUCUCUGGGCUGUUACUGACACUGAGGAGCGAAAGCAUGGGGAGCGAACAGG
rnacentral:rRNA from 1 species